rnacentral:tRNA from 1 species
GACGUGGCUGAGCGGUUUAAGGCAACGGUUUGCUAAAUCGUCAAAUAUUAUAUAUUUCACAAGUUCGAAUCUUGUCGUC